CCUCCGCCCCCGCCCGCCAGGGGCGGCGGGCCCUACGAACCUUUGUAUCUCAACCACUAGAAAACCGUCUGAGGAAAAAAAACAAAAUAAUCAAAACUUUCAACAACGGAUCUCUUGGCUCUGGCAUCGAUGAAGAACGCAGCGAAAUGCGAUACGUAAUGUGAAUUGCAGAAUUCAGCGAACCAUCGAAUCUUUGAACGCACAUUGCGCCCGCCAGCAUUCUGGCGGGCAUGCCUGUCCGAGCGUCAUUUCCCCCCUCACGCGCCCCGUUGCGCGCUGGUGUUGGGGCGCCCUCCGCCUGGCGGGGGGCCCCCGAAAGCGAGUGGCGGGCCCUGUGGAUGGCUCCGAGCGCAGUACCGAACGCAUGUUCUCCCCUCGCUCCGGACGCCCCCCAGGCGCCCUGCCGUGAAAACGCGCAUGACGCGCAGCUCUUUUUACAAGGUUGACCUCGGAUCAG
rnacentral:misc_RNA from 1 species